ensembl:lncRNA
AUUGAAAAUUAGGGUUAGGGUUAGGGUUAGGGUUAGGGUUAGGGUUAGGGUUAGGGUUAGGGUUAGGGUUAGGGUUAGGGUUAGGGUUAGGGUUAGGGUUAGGGUUAGGGUUAGGGUUAGGGUUAGGGUUAGGGUUAGGGUUAGGGUUAGGGUUAGGGUUAGGGUUAGGGUUAGGGUUAGGGUUAGGGUUAGGGUUAGGGUUAGGGUUAGGGUUAGGGUUAGGGUUAGGGUUAGGGUUAGGGUUAGGGUUAGGGUUAGGGUUAGGGUUAGGGUUAGGGUUAGGGUUAGGGUUAGGGUUAGGGUUAGGGUUAGGGUUAGGGUUAGGGUUAGGGUUAGGGUUAGGGUUAGGGUUAGGGUUAGGGUUAGGGUUAGGGUUAGGGUUAGGGUUAGGGUUAGGGUUAGGGUUAGGGUUAGGGUUAGGGUUAGGGUUAGGGUUAGGGUUAGGGUUAGGGUUAGGGUUAGGGUUAGGGUUAGGGUUAGGGUUAGGGUUAGGGUUAGGGUUAGGGUUAGGGUUAGGGUUAGGGUUAGGGUUAGGGUUAGGGUUAGGGUUAGGGUUAGGGUUAGGGUUAGGGUUAGUGUUACGGUUACGGUUAGAGUAAGGGUUAGGAUGAGGGUUAAGGUUAGGGUUAUGGUCAUUGUGAAGGUUACGGUUAGGGUUAGGUUUGGGGUUGGGGUUAGGGUUAGGGCUAGGGUUAGGGUUAGGGUUCGGGUUAGGGAUAGGGUUAGGAUUAGGGUUAGGGUUAGGAUUAGGAUGAGGAUAAGGGUUAAAACCAUGCUUGGAAUUAGGGUUAGGGUUCGGGUUAGGGAUAGGGUUAGGAUUAGGGUUAGGGUUAGGAUUAGGAUGAGGAUAAGGGUUAAAACCAUGCUUGGAAUUAGGGUUAGGGUUCGGGUUAGGGAUAGGGUUAGGAUUAGGGUUAGGGUUAGGAUUAGGAUUAGUGUUAAAACCAAGCUAAGGGUUAGGGUUACGGUUAGGGUUAGGGUUAGGAUUAGGAUUAGGGUUAGGGGUAGGGUUAGGGCUACGACCAGGGUUAGGGUUAGGGUUAUGGUUGCGGUAACGGUGUGGGUUAGGGAUAGGGAUAGGUUUUGAUUUAGGGUUAGGGUCAGGGAUAGGGUUAGGGUUAGUGUUAGGGUGAGGGUUAUGGUUGCGGUAACGGUGAGGAUGAGGGAUAGGUAUAGGGUUUGAUUUGGGAUUUGGGUUAGGUUUAGGGUUAGGGUUAGGGUUAGGGUUAGGGUUAGGGUUAGGGUUAGGGUUAGGGUUAGGGUUAGGGUUAGGGUUAGGGUUAGGGUUAGGGUUAGGGUUAGGGUUAGGGUUAGGCUUAGACUUAGGUUUAGGCGGGGGGUUAGUGUUAGGUUUAGGGUUAGGGUUAGGCUUAGGCUUAGGGUUAGGGUUAGGGUUAGGGUUAAGGUUAGGGUUAGGAUUAGGAUUAGGAUUAGGAUUAGGAUUAGUGUUAAAACCAGUCUUGGAGUUAGGGUUUUGGUUAGUGUUAGUGUUAGUGUUAGUGUAAGUGUUAGGAUUAGGAUUAGAAUAAGGAUUAGGAUUAGGAUUAGGAUUAGGAUUAGG